ACGCUGUGUAUCUAACGUGAAAAUAGCUGUUUGGAAAACCUGCGGUAUGGGAUCCGAGAAGGGUGUUGCCGAUUUUCGUUAUUCUAGGGAGAAAAAUUCUGAAAGUUCAUUCACGUCUCGCCAUCUGGUGGAAAACACGGGUCACAGUUUUCUCCGCAUAUGCGGUCUAUAGAUGGCGGUGCGCGUAUAUCAUAUGGUCGUUAUUCAAAAAUAAUUGUCGCAUAUCAGAAUAUGAUAUUUUGUGUUUUGAGCAGCAGUUAAAUUGGGGAUGAAACGACGAUUAUUAUUUAAGGUAUAUUAUCUGUUUCCUUUAGUUUAAGUUUUCAAAAUACGAUGGGACACUUUAUUUAUUGACACUGAAUUAUU